AACUGCUCCAGUUGUUACCAUCACUAACACUAGUGUUAAUGCUAUACCAGAAUGUGUAAUGCCAACUGAUUGUAAAGCAUGGAAAGAACUGGGAAUUAAACAAAAUGGAGUAUAUCCUAUAAAACCAGAUAAUGGACCAGCUUUCCAAGUAUACUGUGAUAUGGAGACUGAUGGUGGUGGAUGGACUGUAU